GGUUUACGUGAACCAAGUGAACGCGGCCCUCUAUGUUUUGACUGCCAGCACGUACGGACACCCAGUGAAUGUCUUACUUUAACACUUUGUUCUCAACAUGAGGCUUGUAGUAUAGACAAAUACCAAUGGGGAGAUCAUUUUCAAUACAAAAUGGGAUGCUCUCAGUGCCAGAGAUCCAAACGAUCACUUCCUGUUUGCCACAUGUGCUGUGCCAACGAUUACUGUAAUGCGAACUGCACACAGUCAACAAACGGCAAUUUAUACACUGGGAUAGUAGGU